rnacentral:rRNA from 1 species
ACAACGACUCUCGGCAACGGAUAUCUCGGCUCUCGCAUCGAUGAAGAACGUAGCGAAAUGCGAUACUUGGUGUGAAUUGCAGAAUCCCGUGAACCAUCGAGUCUUUGAACGCAAGUUGCGCCCGAAGCCGUCAGGCCGAGGGCACGCCUGCCUGGGCGUCACGC